UACGUAGGGGGCAAGCGUUGUCCGGAAUCAUUGGGCGUAAAGAGCGUGUAGGCGGCCAGAUAAGUCCGCUGUGAAAUCUCGAGGCUCAACUUCGAGCUGUCGGUGGAAACUGUCUGGCUAGAGUCCGGAAGAGGAGAAUGGAAUUCCUGGUGUAGCGGUGAAAUGCGCAGAUAUCAGGAGGAACACCGGUGGCGAAGGCGGGUCUCUGGACAGUUCCUGACGCUGAGGCACGAAGGUCAGGGGAGCAAACGGG
rnacentral:rRNA from 1 species